UUUGAAAGGAAACCAUUUAUUUAUUUACUUCCUCUACAGUUUUCCUGACUGCUACAUUUCAUAAGAAGGGAUUGUUUAUGAGGGUCAAGGAGCUGGAGGCCUGGGGAGGAGCUGGUGUUUCUGUUCAAGUUUGAGGGUCCUGGAGCUGGAGCCCAGGGGAGGAGCCAGUGCUGCCACUGAUGUCUUAGGGUCGUGGAGCUGAAGAUCCCAGAGGAGCCGGUGCUGCUAUUCUAGCUUGAGUUUCGUGGAGCUGGAGACCCAGGGAGAAGAUGGUGCUGCUGUUCUAAUUUAAGGAUCGUGAAACAGAAGACCCAGAAAGGAGCUGGUGCUGCCGCUGCUCAGAUCUGAGGGUGUUGGAGCUGGAGCCUGGGGGUGGAGCCAUUGCUGCCAUUGAAGUGUGAGAGUCAUUGAGCUGGAAGUCCAGGAAGCAGCUGGUGCUGCUGUUCUAGUUUGAGGGUUGUGGAGUGCAGACCCAGGCAGGAGCAACAUUGCUGUAGUUCGAGGGUCAGAAAGCUGGCGACCCAGGGAGGAGAGGUCUUGUUCUAGUUUGAUUUUCGUGGAGCUGCAGACCCAGGCAGGAGCAAUGUUGCUGUAGUUCGAGGGUCCGGUAGCUGGCAACCCGGGGAGGAGAAGUCUUGUUCGAGUUUGAGGGUCGUGGAGCUGCCGACCCAGGGAGGAGCAAUUUGGUUGUAAUUUGAGGGUCCAGAAGCUGGAGACCCAGGGAGGAGAGAGAUCUUGUUCUGGUCUGAGGGUUGUGGAGCCACAGACCCAGGGAGGAGCAAUUUUGUUGUAAUUUGAGGGUCAGGAAGCUGGCGACCCAGGGAGGAGAGGUCUUGUUCUAGUUUAAGGGUCGUGGAGCUGCAGACCCAGGGAGGAGCAAUGUUGUU
rnacentral:lncRNA from 1 species